CCACACACGAGUAAUUUCAUGUGAAUUUCUAAUACGAAGAAAAAGGCCAGGCUCACCAUUUUAAUUGAAGCAUUUGAGUGCAAUGCACGGUGUCCUGGGCCAUAUUUGAGUGAUCGUGUGAUGGUUAUGAGAAAUCGUCCCGGGCUGUUGAGCUGGACGUUAUCCCAAUGUGGGAUACCCCCUGGACAACGGGAAGCCGGUCGCAGUUGAUUCUGGACCCUAUGCUCCUUCGGGAAAGCCGUCUAAUAAAGAGACGUGCCGUGCUCAAUGGGGUGAGACGAAGCCUGGCAAUGCCAAAAGACCGCCGAACUGAGAGUAGGCCGUGCUAUAUGCCGAGAUCAAAAAUUAAGAACGCAUGAUUAAUUGAGUGUGGCGUUUCAAUU
rnacentral:lncRNA from 1 species